AUUUAUUUAAACCUGAAAGAGAAAAGGAAAUUACUGGAUAUAAUGAGAGUUUUUUGAAAAGUCUCGUCUUUGUAAAGGCAGAUAUUUUCACUGUGCUCGUCCAGUGCUGUCAUUUCGACGUCGUUGUUGUUGAAACUUGUAAAACCAAGUGAUGAAAAGAUGAUGCAGAUUCUAGUUUAGCAAAAUGACAGAGGUCUAGGGCUCGAGGCCGGGACCAGGACUAGACCCGGACUAGACUCGGUUACAGUUGCAGACUCGGUGCCUAAACGUCGCCUACUUAACUUUAUAACUGAAUCAUUUUGAAAAACCACACAAACGCGUCCCUCUCUCCAUUGACCUCUACUGAAACUCUCCUCUGGCUUUUUGGAGCUUUGCCUUUGCCUUCCUACAGGAUCCUUUUGGGGACAAACCAGGCCGUUUAUAACAGACUUGAGACCAGCCCGAUGAAUAACUCCAUGUUUUUAUGUAGUUUUUACUUAGCUUAACAGGGGCUAAACUCACAAGCAACAGAGUGAACCAGGAGCCAGCGCUGAACGAAACUAAAUAAUGGCAUUUUAAACAGGAAAUUACAAUAUUUUACAGGUUUACGUAAAGACUUUUUCAGCUUUCUACAGUGUUAUAGCGUUGUUCCCUCAUCAAAAACAUGUCUGAAGAGAUUUUACAGCCAUCCAUGCAUGUUUGAGUCAUCUAGCGAUCUCUCCCAGGGCCUAUUCGAAGCCUCUUUACGGUCAAAUGUAAGACGUCAGUACAAGGCUCCGCCCACAAGCCUACAUCACCCACAACAAUUCUCCAUAAAUAUACAAAAACAUUACACGUAACUGUACACAACAACUCAAAGUUUAAACUUGACCACAGCGCUGGCUCCUCGUUUUGGAAAAAAAAAAAAAAAGGAUUGAAAUUAUUUAUAAUAGUCUUAAAUGAGCAGUUUAUAACCACUAAUUCUCCCUUAACGCUCAUGUCCUGUAGAAGAGACAGCUGGGUUUCCUUCACUGCCGUUUGUGGAUCAUUACGACUUAAAGGGCCUUAAACUGCCAUUUUCUGAUCGAUGUUAGAACGUUUCCUCAUCGCAAACACACACCUGGAGCUGUGUUUUGUUAAGUUUUGAUGAUUUCAGCCUUUAUUUCAGCUCAACCACUGCCUUUUACCUUUUUGUUUGGUAGAGAAAACGUGAAAACUACCGCUUCAUGACAUCAUAAAGUGGAUCAGAGCAUUUUGAGCUUUAGAGAUGUGAACACGCAUAAUAAAGUCGCUCAAACGUGUGCGAAUGGGACAAAACGCAGCUCCAGGUCUGUUUUUUGAGGAGGAAACAUCAUAACUUCGUAUUAUUUGUGUAAUAUAGGACCUUUUUAAAUAAUAUUUUUAAUUAACUGUCAUGUACAAAUGCCUUAAGACGAGUCCAGUCGGCCAUUUUGACGUCGACGAGCCUUAGUCCUUACGCACUAUACGAGUUCUCAUUAGAAAGUCGGUUCAUUUCAGUCUUUGUCAGUUGUUCUGGACGUGUUUAAAUUGUGAGCUCUGAACAGAAUCCUUUUAUUAACACGUAAACGUAAUCGCGAUCUCAAAGCUUGGACGCAAAAUCUCAUCGGGAUGUUUUUCACGCAUCGUUAAGCCACGUUUUUAUUCACUGCAAACGCCUCACGUUGAAUCUACGAGCCUUAAAAAUAUGUUCCAUUUGAAGUUGAUGUUCUCAUGUUAAUACACAAAAUAACGCACCAAAGUUUGCCUUAAAAUGCCUUAUCUUUCAAUUAAAAUAUGCAACAAUUUAGAGAAUAAACGGACAAUUUUACAGCUUUUCACCCUUUUAACAAAAUCAAACUGAAAUCUAAAUCUCAACAAAAAAAGGACCAAACUUGUAGCUUUGUAACUUUGGCUCGAAGUCACGAAGCCACUACUAAACCAGGACUAAACCAGGACUAAACCAGGACUAAACCAGGACUAAACCAGGACUAAACCAGGACUAAACCAGGACUAAACCAGGACUUAAACCAGUCCCAGCCAGCACCAGAAUGUAAACUCAGAUUUAACCAGGACUAAACCAGGACUAAACGUAAAAAAAAAAGUAAAGUAAAUCCGAGUCUAAACUAAUUCUUAACCCAAACCGAACCAGAACCUGAGACUAAACAAGAACCAAACUGAGACUAAACCAGGUCUGAACCCAGUCCCAGCCAGCACCAGAAUGUAAACAGUGACUUGACUAGGACUAAACCAGGACUAAACUUGGAUAAAAUCAAGUUUAAAGUGGACUAAGGACUGGACUCAUUCCCAACCAGUAUCUAGACAACCAGAGGAUAAACUUGGGCUAAACUUGGGCUAAACUUGGGCUAAACUUGGGCUAAACUUGGGCUAAACUUGGGCUAAACUUGGGCUAAACUUGGGCUAAACUUGGGCUAAACUUGGGCUAAACUUGGGCUAAACUUGGGCUAAACUUGGGCUAAACUUGGACUAAACUUGGACUAAACUUGGACUAAACUUGGACUAAAUCAAGUUUAAAGUAGACCCGGGACUAUACUAAGGACUGGACCGGGGACUGGACAGGUAUCUAGACAAACAGGGUCUAAACUAGGACUAAACCAGGACUAAACUAGAAUCUUGCUACAACUUCUUCAGUCCUAAACCUUUAACCUACAGCCACUUCGUCCUCUAUAAUCCAAAUUUUAGUUUCAAAUCUUACAUUUUCAGAUAUUCACCUGAAACCCAGCUGUCCUUUCUGACGCUCCCUCACGCCUUUGUACCGUUUAUAUUAAUAUCACUUUUAUUUAACCACGUUUUGUGCAGAACCACUGUUAGCUGUGCCAUAAUUUCAGUUAUCUCUCAGGGUUGACUCCACUUAUUCGUAAUUAAUAUUUUAGUGUUUUCUUGUUCAUAAUUCGACUUUUAGCUGUGAUACCGGCCCCACAGCUCGUCUCUGAAAUCGGCUGGUACUUUGGCAUUCACCCGAAACUUUGCCCCCUUUAAAAAUAUUGUUUUGUUUUUUUUUCCUGAUUUUUAGCGUCUUUUUAAAGGGACACUCCCAGUUUUUGCCUUAAUAAUGAAUGUCUGUUUAUAGAUGUACAGAUUGUAGAUUGAAAAAUACUGUAUCCAGCAAAAGUUUUGGCGAAAUCUUUUGGUCACGUUUAUACCAAGCAUUACGGUACUAAGUGAUUUACGGUUUGUUUUUGCAAAAAUUUAAUUCUUUCAGCAAUUUUCAUUCAUUUUUUACAAUAUUUUCCUUGGCGUUCAUUGACAAAACUUUAAAUAAUCUGCAUUUUUUGCCAUAUUUUCUUAAAAAUCCUUAAAGAGGCGGCAUUAGGUAUAUUUUUUAAUCUUUCUUCCAUGUUCUAACAUUGUCCCCCUCAUCAAAAACACGCCUGAAGAGGUUUUAAAUGUCAUCCAUGCAUGUUUGAGUCAUCUAGCGAUCUCUCCCAGACCCUAUUCAAACCCUCCUUACGGUUAGCAGUACGAUUCUGUACAAGGCUCCGCCCACAAGCCUCCAUCAGUCUAAUCCCCCGUCUUUAACUUGUCUAAACUCUCCAAAACUCAAACGAUUUUUCUAAUUUUUUUCAUUCAACCAACAAAAAUGACACAUUUUUGUUUUGAUUUUAAAAUGUUCGUCAUAUUUCUUUUCUUUAAUUGUGAUUUUGAAGGUUGAGGGUUAAAUUCUUCACAAACAGCCUUAAAGAAACUGCUCGUUAGUCUUGUAUCCAAAUAGAAACAAUGCACCAGGGAGGGCAUCCAGCUUAAAAUCUAUACCAACGUCACUAGAUCUGCUCUUUAUUUUAGUGAUUCCAGAUCUAAACCAGACUGCUUAUAUGUAAAUCUUACUCAAACUAGUCGCCAUAGUUUUAAUGACUUUUGUGAAUAUAAUUUCCCUGUUUUAAUGUCGCCGUAAUGCUUGGUCUAAACGGGCAGGUUAAAUCUUGUGCUGAAUUCUUGAAACAAAAUGUCUUCCACUGUAUCGUGUCACGUCAUAGGCCAACGUUUAACCACUUUUAGCCUGAACGCAAAUCACGUUUAAAAGAAUCCCUGAGUGUUUGGUCAAAUUUAAGCUGAGAGAUGCAAGAAAAAAUGUAGUUUGUUAUGGUAAAGACUUACAAGGGCUAAACCGGGGCUAAACCGGGACCAAAGUCCAGUCAAAAGUAGGAUCAAGGACUAAACUAGUUCUCAAUCUAGUCCAAACCAGUGCAGUAACCAACUAACCAAGAACUAAACCAGGUCUAAACAAGGACCAAACUGGGACUAAACAGGUCUUAACCCAGUCCAAGCCAGUACCAGGAUGUAAACUUGGACUUAACUAGGACCAAACCAGGUCUAAACUAGUUCACAACACAGUUCAAACCAGUCAAGUCCCAUAACCAGGGACUACACGAGAU
ensembl:lncRNA